GCUGUCAGCGUACACCAAGGCUCGGUGUUGGAAUUCAUAAAGAUGGAUUUGUCUAGCCUGUGUGACAGGCAGGUGUUUGUCAGCGUGGGACUACAUAUGAAAGAUGGCCAAAUUAGCUGACAAAGCAGUAAUGCACCUCCUACUGUGCAUUUUUAGAUUGGCAGAAUUCUGCCUCAGUUACUUUGCUGGCCAUCCAAGGAAUUUACUCUAGUCUGUGCAACUUUGUAAACUGCAAAAAACUUCCAUGAGGCCUUCCCCAUGCACAUGGGUGCAAUGAAGAAGUGUCCGUCAGCUCCUGCUGGUUGUAUUGCCUUUUUAGGGUAAGGGGAACAAUUUAUUGUCAGAAUAAUUAUACUUACCAACUUUUCUUUUACCUAUUAAUAUUUCUGAGAAAACAUUUUCAGAAUACAUUAAUCUGCUUCAAAUAAUGAGUAAUCCAUAUGGUAAAGGCUAAGACAGAAAGCUAUUGGACCAGCAAAUAAAUAAGGAAAAAAAUUACUCUUGUAAAUACA
rnacentral:lncRNA from 1 species